UACGCUGGCGGCACGCCUAAUACAUGCAAGUCGAACGAAGUAGCAAUACUUAGUGGCAGACGGGUGAGUAAUAUGUAGGUAUCUUCCCAUUGGUGAGGAAUAACACGAGGAAACUUGUGCUAAUACCUCAUAAGUCUUUACGGAGAAAGCUUUAUGCGCCGAUGGAUGAGCCUGCACUUGAUUAGUUUGUUGGUAGGGUAAUGGCCUACCAAGACAAUGAUCAAUAGCUGAUUUGAGAGGAUGAUCAGCCACAUUGGGACUGAGACACGGCCCAAACUCCUACGGGAGGCAGCAGUAGGGAAUCUUGCACAAUGGGGGAAACCCUGAUGCAGCGAUGCCGCGUGAGUGAAGAAGGCCUUUGGGUUGUAAAGCUCUUUCGUCGGGGAAGAAAAUGACUGUACCCGAAUAAGAAGGUCCGGC
rnacentral:rRNA from 1 species